rnacentral:rRNA from 1 species
UACGUAGGGUGCGAGCGUUGUCCGGAAUUACUGGGCGUAAAGGGCGCGUAGGCGGCCCGCUAAGUCGAACGUGAAAUCCCCAGGCUCAACCUGGGAACUGCGUCCGAUACUGGCAGGCUUGAAUCCGGGAGAGGGAUGUGGAAUUCCAGGUGUAGCGGUGAAAUGCGUAGAUAUCUGGAGGAACACCGGUGGCGAAGGCGGCAUCCUGGACCGGUAUUGACGCUGAGGCGCGAAAGCUAGGGGAGCAAACGGGG